UACGGAGGGAGCAAGCGUUAUCCGGAAUCACUGGGUUUAAAGGGUGCGUAGGCGGCUUGAUAAGUCAGAGGUGAAAGGCUGUGGCUCAACCAUGGGCUUGCCUUUGAUACUGUUGGGCUUGAAUCAGGAUGAGGUUGGCAGAAUGUGGCAUGUAGCGGUGAAAUGCAUAGAUAUGCCAUAGAAUACCGAUUGCGAAGGCAGCUGACUGGACCUUGAUUGACGCUGAGGCACGAAAGCGUGGGGCGCGAACAGG
rnacentral:rRNA from 1 species